GCUUGCAUUCAUAUCAUCAUUGUCUAUGAUCUCAACUCAUAAAUUAAGUAAGGUUGGGUUUUGUCAGUUCUUGGAUAGGAGGCCUCCAAGGAAAACCCAGAUGGUGCAGGCA
ensembl:rRNA 5S_rRNA 5S ribosomal RNA